UACAGAGGUGGCAAGCGCUGUUCGGAUUUAUUGGGCGUAAAGGGUCCGUAGGCGGCCUAGAAAGUCGGAUGUGAAAUCCCACAGCUCAACUGUGGAACUGCAUUCGAAACUUCUAGGCUCGAGUGUGAUAGGGGUAAAGGGAAUUCCCGGUGUAAGGGUGAAAUCUGCAGAGAUCGGGAGGAACACCAGUCGCGAAGGCGCUUUACUGGAUCACUACUGACGCUGAGGGACGAAAGCCAGGGGAGCAAACGGG
rnacentral:rRNA from 1 species